rnacentral:rRNA from 1 species
AAUGAACGUUGGCGGCGUGGAUUAGGCAUGCAAGUCGCGCGACAAGGAACCUUCGGGUUCUGGAGGAGCGGCAAACGGGGUAGUAAGGCAUCGGAACGUACCCUCUUGUUGGGAAUAGCCGCGGGAAACUGCGAGUAAUGCCCAAUAAUCCCUACGGGGCAAAGGUCCGCCGCAGGAGGAGCGGCCGAUGUGAUACCAGCUAGUUGGUGAGGUAAUGGCUCACCAAGGCUUAGACGUCUAGGGGGUGUGAGAGCAUGGCCCCCACCACUGGGACUGAGAUACUGCCCAGACACCUACGGGUGGCUGCAGUCGAGAAUCUUCGGCAAGUGGGCGCAAGCCUGACCGAGCAACGCCGCGUGCGGGAUGAA